rnacentral:lncRNA from 1 species
UGGACCUAGAAAUUAAUGUUAUAGAUCAUUGAUUACCAAAUAAAGAGCUUGAUUUCUAUUUGAACUCAAAUUCAGGUUGAAAUAAUCAUUGGUCCGCCUUUAUUUAAUCAUUGGUCAACCUUUAUCUCUCAGCUGAAUUCUAGUUAUAUUUAUAUGGAAAAUGCUAAACAGUGCCCCGGAGGCACUAGUUAAGGAUACAAAUAUAGAAGAUUUAUCUCGUAAAUUGUGCAUUCAAUGUUUUAAUGAUGUGAAAAGUUAUUCUCUCUCAUCAUUAACUUUAUCAUUUGUUUCCUUUUUUAAUAUGCUUAACUAGUGUACCAGGGACACUGUUUAGCAUGACCCUACUAUAGUUUGGCCCUAUUUCACUAUGAAUCGGAGGACUAAAACUAGUAUUAUUUUGUAUUUGUAUAAAAAAAUAAGCUUGAUUAAUUUUAAAGUGUUUAUGAUUCUAUUUCUU